UGACAUUUUGUUUCAGUUAAACUCAUCCUUCUCUGUCUUUAGAGUAUUAGAAGACCAAAGUUUGACCCAAUCUUAUGGAAAGACAUUUGUGAUUCUUCAUUGCUUUUCCUCAUGAUAUUCCUUUCCUCCUGUGCAGGGUACCCACUACUCACACCCAAUCUGAUCUCCCAGUGGGAACAAGAGGAGGAACUGCAGACAGUGAAGACAGAACUUAUCCAGGGCAUCUGUAUGGAGCAGCACCAGGAAGGUUUUGAGUCUCUACUUAAUACUAAGGAAUUAGUUGCUCUUCAAGAUAACAAUGGAGAAAAAAUAUCCAAUGAACAGAAAAUAGUGAGAAUCAAAAGAAAUGGUUCCUGCUCCUCUAUUUUACAUGAAAACCAGGACACCCAUCAUGUGGAUGAUUGGAACAAAAGCCAUGAGAAAGGACUAAGGUGAGUGCCCUUCAUAUAAGAGAAGGUAGUGCAUCAGGAAACAAUUUUGAGAUUUAAGAAACAUAUUUUGGGGUUGGGGUUUUGGCUCAGUGGCAGGCAGAGUGCUUGCUUCCCAUAUGUGAGGACUGGGUUCAAUCCUCAGCAUCACAUAAAAAUGAAUAAAUGAAAUAAAG
rnacentral:lncRNA from 1 species